GUUUUGAUGUUUGAAAUAUUUGUUGAUGUCUGCAUCUCGUAAGAUAUCGGAAGCCGUCUGACUUGGCCACAUCGCUCGGAAGUCCGAAGUACUAGAAAAAACCGCCAUCUGCUACCUUAAAGACAUUUGUCAAUUUUUGUCUGCAUCUCGUAAGAUAUCGGAAGCCGUCUGACUUGGCCACAUCGCUCGGAAGUCCGAAGUACUAGAAAAAACCGCCAUCUGCUACC